rnacentral:rRNA from 1 species
GACGAACGCUGGCGGCGUGCCUAAUACAUGCAAGUAGAACGCACAGUUUAUACCGUAGCUUGCUACACCAUAGACUGUGAGUUGCGAACGGGUGAGUAACGCGUAGGUAACCUGCCUGGUAGCGGGGGAUAACUAUUGGAAACGAUAGCUAAUACCGCAUCAUAUUGAUUAUUGCAUGAUAAUUGAUUGAAAGAUGCUAUUGCAUCACUACCAGAUGGACCUGCGUUGCAUUAGCUAGUAGGGGAGGUAACGGCUCACCUAGGUGGCGAUACAUAGCCGACCCGAGACGGUGAUCGGUCACACUGGGACUGGGACCCGGCCCAGACUUCGGCGGGAGGCAGCAGUAGGGAAUCUUCGGCAAUGGACGAAAGUCUGACCGGGCAACGGCGCGUGAGUGAAGAAGGUUUUCGGAUCGUAAAGCUCUGUUGUAAGAGAAGAACGGGUGUGAGAGUGGAAAGUUCACACUGUGACGGUAUCUGACCAGAAAGGAACGGCUAACUACGUG